ACACUAACCCGUUCUGACAUGCAGACAUGCACACUGUGACGCAGUCACGCAGCAGGACGUUACGUACACAUGGGGACACACCCGUCUACAGUCCACUAAGGAAAAUAAAAGAAUGAGACGUGUGAGCUGAGGGCUGAAGUUAUUCUCCACCAAUCUGGAACAGAGUUCCAUUACAGAGACACACUGCAGCAGACAUUACGGAUCCAUAACCAGCUUCAAGACUUCUAAAGGAUGAAGAACCUUAAACUUCUCAUCCUCUCUCUCUCCAUCUGCCUGUUGCUGGGCAACCUGGGGGUGAGUGGCUACAGUAAUGUCGAACCCUGCCAACGGUCCCGAUGCAAUAACUGCCAUGAGAAGUUCCUAUACCGGCAUGUGCGUCCAAAUACCCCGCUAACGACGGACCGCAACGCGUGGGAGAAGUAUCUACGUGAAAAGAAUGACUGCUCAAGACCCACGCAGUCCUUCCUCCAUCCCAAAGACCGCGAGAGGGUGGACGCGGUCUGCUCCAGCUCUGGGGGAAAGAAGUACCAGGGGAACCUGUGCAUCAGCCAAAGCCCGUUCACAUUUCUAACAGUGAGGAGUGAGACUGGGACCUGCGGUGUGUCCAGCGUGCGGGAAGAGACCAAGCAUUUGAUCCUGGCAUGUGAGGUGCUGGAGAACAGGUGUGUGCCGGUCCACUUCGAGGGGAACCGCGAGGGGAACAAGCCUGACAAUAACGCUGCAGGAUGUGGCAGCACGGAGAAAGGGAAGGGUUCAAGCUUCAAAGUAUCAGGAAUGUGGCUGGCAUCUUCAUUGAUACUCGUGUUUCUCUCACAACUCCUUUUCUGAAUGUGGCUGGCAUCUUCAUUGAUACUCGUGUUUCUCUCACAACUCCUUUUCUGAAUGUGGCUGGCAUCUUCAUUGAUACUCGUGCUUCUCUCACAACUCCUUUUCUGAAUGUGGCUGGCAUCUUCAUUGAUACUCGUGUUUCUCUCACAACUCCUUUUCUGAAUGUGGCUGGCAUCUUCAUUGAUACUCGUGUUUCUCUCACAACUCCUUUUCUGAAUGUGGCUGGCAUCUUCAUUGAUACUCAUGUUUCUCUCACAACUCCUUUUCUGAAUGUGGCUGGCAUCUUCAUUGAUACUCGUGUUUCUCUCACAACUCCUUUUCUGAAUGUGGCUGGCAUCUUCAUUGAUACUCGUGUUUCUCUCACAACUCCUUUUCUGAAUGUGGCUGGCAUCUUCAUUGAUACUCAUGUUUCUCUCACAACUCCUUUUCUGAACAGUUAAUGGGGGGGGUCAGAUAGUCAAACAAUACAUCAAAAGGAAGUUUGUUUUAAAGUGUUUGUCCUACACUCUAAAAAGAAAAGGUUCCUGGAGUAUCCUUUAGGGGUUCUUCAAAUGUAAUGUGUGGGUGAACCGCUAUGAGUUCUUCAAAGCACCCCUUUUAAUGGAUCCUCAGAGAACCUUUUGAAGAACUUUUGGGGUACAUUUUUUGAACGACCCCUCUCCCCUAUUAUUAAUAAAGGUAAUACGCAUAACAAAAACAACAAUAACACAAUAUUUUAUUGUUCUCAGUGUUUAUUAUGAUUGUAGUGGCAAAAGCAGAAUAAUAAAAUCUAAAUAUGAGGUAAACUCCCAGCAGAGCCCCAAGUCCAGUGGAAGUCCAAUGGAAGUAUAUCCUCUGGCGUGUUGAUGUUAUUGUGUUGAUGUUAUUGUGUUGAUGUUAUUGUGUUGAUGUUAUUGUGUUGAUGUUAUUGUGUUGAUGUUCUUGUGUUGAUGUUAUUGUGUUGAUGUUAUUGUGUUGAUGUUCUUGUGUUGAUGUUAUUGUGUUGAUGUUCUUGUGUUGAUGUUAUUGUGUUGAUGUUAUUGUGUUGAUGUUCUCCGUAUCCAUAGCCAGAAUGAGGCGUAUUUCCGUCUGUAAUAAUGCCCUUUUGUGGGGAAAACUCAUUCUGAUUGGCUGGGCCUGACUCCCCAGUAGGUGGGCCUGACUCCCCAGUAGGAGGGCCUAUGCCCUCCCAGGCCCACCCAUGUCUACUCCCCUGCCCAGUCAUGUGAAAUCCAUAGAUUAGGGCCUAAUUUGUUUAUUUAAAUGGACUGAUUUCCUUAAUUAACUGUAACUCAGCAAAAUAUUUGAAAUCGUUGCAUGUUGCGUUUAUAUUUUUGUUCCGUAUACUUCCAUAUAUACUUCCAUUCAUUGGUGAGUAGCCCAAACUGUUCUGAAGCUUCAGACAGAAGUUGGCAGAUUGGUGAUACUGACUUGCGGGGGUCGUAGAAAACUGAGAACACCAUCAUGUUGGUGAGAGUCUCAUCUUUCCAUAGAUGGGUCGUAUUAGUUUGUUGGCCAAACCGUUCGGACGCUACAGACGUUUUUGUGAGAAGAACGAUUUCCGCCAUGUCUCAUGGUCUGACAAACAGUAGCUUGGUCACCUUCCACCACAGAUGCGGAAGGACGCCGUUGGAAGGACGCCGUUGGCGGAUGAGGUGACUUGAGACGCAGCCCAUCCAAAAGGCUACAUAUCUCUAGCUUAAAGCUACAAUAUGUCACUUUUUGGGCAACCCAACCAAAUUCACAUAGAAAUAUGAGUUAUAGAUCUUAUAUAGAUCAAUAACUAUAUAGAUCUCUAUAGAUCAAGUCUAUAAUAAAAAAGAAGCGGUAGAUCUGUUCUAUGUGUGUCACGUUCUGACCAUCGUUCGUAUGUGUUUUCCUUGUUUUAGUGUUGGUCAGGACGUGAGCUGGGUGGGCAUUCUAUGUUGUGUGUCUGGUUUGUCUAUUUCUAUGUUUGGCCUGAUAUGGUUCUCAAUCAGAGGCAGGUGUUAGUCAUUGUCUCUGAUUGGGAACCAUAUUUAGGUAGCCUGUUUUGUGUUGGGUUUUGUGGGUGAUUGUCCUUAGUGUCUUGAUGUCCUUGUUCUGUGUGUAUGUGCACCAGUAUUAGGCUGUUUCGGUUUUCGUUACGUUCUUGUUUUGUAGUGUUUGUAUUGAUUCAUGUUUACGUUUGUUUAUUAAAUUAUGGAUCGCAAUCUACACGCUGCGUUUUGGUCCGACUCUCCUUCACCACAAGAGAACCGUUACAAUGUGUGCUAUUCUUUUACUUUCAGUUUUGUACACAAGCAAUAUUUUUGGUUAUUGAAAAAAUAUUUCACAGCAGUUUAGGUGGUACUAUGAUUCUCUACACAACGACUGCUUGUUUUGUCAUAAAAUUCUAAUAGUUUACCUAAUUUCAGUUUAUCAACCAGGAAAUGGCAGAGUGAUUUCUGAAUAGUGCAUCUUUAAACAGAGGGAUUUUUAUGGGGAUUUUUUAAAUUAUUCUAAUUAGAUUUCAGCGGGGGGGCGCAGACAUCAACUCUAGGGGGUGUAGAGUGCCAUGUAUUCAGGUUUGGUCCUGGGCUAUAACGUUUCACUCACAACAUUUAAAACUGCCAUCUAUUCAGGUCUGGUCCUGGGCUAUAACGUUUCACUCACAACAUUUAAAACUGCCAUCUAUUCAGGUCUGGUCCUGGGCUAUAACGUUUCACUCACAACAUUUAAAACUGCCAUCUAUUCAGGUCUGGUCCUGGGCUAUAACGUUUCACUCACAACAUUUAAAACUGCCAUCUAUUCAGGUCUGGUCCUGGGCUAUAACGUUUCACUCACAACAUUUAAAACUGCCAUCUAUUCAGGUUUGGUCCUGGGCUAUAACGUUUCACUCACAACAUUUAAAACUGCCAUGUAUUCAGGUUUGGUCCUGGGCUAUAACGUUUCACUCACAACAUUUAAAACUGCCAUGUAUUCAGGUUUGGUCCUGGGCUAUAACGUUUCACUCACAACAUUUAAAACUGCCAUGUAUUCAGGUUUGGUCCUGGGCUAUAACGUUUCACUCACAACAUUUAAAACUGCCAUGUAUUCAGGUUUGGUCCUGGGCUAUAACGUUUCACUCACAACAUUUAAAACUGCCAUGUAUUCAGGUUUGGUCCUGGGCUAUAACGUUUCACUCACAACAUUUAAAACUGCCAUGUAUUCAGGUUUGGUCCUGGGCUAUAACGUUUCACUCACAACAUUUAAAAGACUGCCAUGUAUUCAGGUCUGGUCCUCGGCUAUAACGUUUCACUCACAACAUUUAAAACUGCCAUCUAUUCAGGUCUGACCCUGGGUCUGACCCUGGGCUAUGAUAGCCUGGGUACCUUGUACUCUGUGUCAUAUGCCAAACAUGUUUAGCAAAAAAAGAGUGGCAAGAUGGGGAAUGACAGCUAAACAGACUGGUACCCGUACCAGACUAGGGCUAUGACGUUUCACACACAACAGUUAAUAGACUGCCAUGUUUUGUUCUCUCACGACAUCUAUUCUGAACAGAAAGACUGGUCAUCUGUUUUGUCAUGUGUAUGUUAUGGACGGUGUUGCCAGUUCCUGUGUGCCAGUCAGGGAUCCUGUGUGCCAGUCAGGGAUCUGUCUAUGGCUGUGGGCCCCAGUCUAAUGUUGGCGUCAGCAUUUCAUUACCUUGUACUUCAUUUGAAAAAGUGUAUUGUACCAUGCUGAAUAUAUGCACUAUCAAUAAAGGUUGAUUUUGUAGAAUGUUGAA